GCUAAAACUGGAGACCAUUAUGGCUACAUUGUUGAAAUGUAUAAUAAUCAUGUAUAAUAAUGAAUCUAGAUAUUAUAUUUUAGGAUAACCAAUGAAAAUAAGUCUCUCAACCUUAGAUAAUAUGUACACUUGUACAAAUAGAUUUUUAUAUGUGUGUUUGUUUUUAUUCCCAGAUUAUUGUCAAAUGGCUACAGUGAAACUCAGAAUCAUCCUCGGGGAUAAACGAUUCCCAGAGACUGACCCUGCAAGAUGGGCUUCCAGAGACUGUUGGUGAACUUGUUCAGAACAUAAAGAGGCUGUGUGGGGUAGAGGAGCACUUCAGGCUGCAAUUUAUGGAUACGGAGUUUGGCAGUGAAUUUACCAACUUGACUUCAAUGUCAGAGAUCCAGGACAAAAGUACCUUAAAACUUGUCUUUGAUUCAGCUGCCUCUGUCCUGCCUGGUGGUUCACCCCCUCCACCCUACUCCACUCCUGCCACAUCAGGGUCUGGUAAUGAGUCAUCACUUUCAUCUGGUAGCUUGUGUGAUAUUUACAGAUAUUUUGUCUUCACCUGAGUCCAUCCCUUCAAGAUCCUCUGGAUGGCCUGUUGUUUUUUUUCUUCCUCGAUUCCCAUAUGAUUGUGAGCUGCAGCUGGACAGAGCCAAUACUGCAUUCAAAGAGAGCGGAACUUUAUUGAAUCCAGACAUGAGACUUAAAACUGCCAUUCUUGACAGUUUAGCUGAAGAAAUUGUUAAAUACAAAGUGUACCCCUCAGACAAUGAGGUUGAAGAGGUUGCCGAAGCCCUUGUGUCAUCACAUCCAUGUUUGAAAGAGCCAGGCUCUGCCACUGGAUAUGGUGGCUGGAAGGUGAGCUUAAAGUACAAACUUGCCAACUACAGGAGGAAGCUCAAGCGGCUUGGAUGUCCAGAGGUGGAACUGAAUUCCCUGACAAAUAAACCUGUAGACAAAUGCACUCCUGCUUAUGGUGUAAAGAAGCCCAGAAGAGCCCAAGUAAAUUACUGCCCCACCUACCCAUCUGGUGAAUCUGCAGAGACACUUGAAAAGAUAAGAGAGAACCUGCUUUUAGACGUAAGGAAAAGGAACAAUGAGGACACACUGGCAGCAAUGAUGGAGAAGACCUUUGCACACAGAAGGCAAGAAGUUAUUCGUGAUGCACCCUUAAUUGCGGAUUACAAAACCAGAUGGCCAGCUCUCUUCUGUGUACGUGAGCUAACUGCUGAAUUCAAGAGGAUUACAACCGUCAGUUUGCUGUCCAAGUUCUUCUCCAAGCUGGAUGCUCACUCUUCGAAGUUGAUGAGGGUGUCUGGCAAGAAAGGUGGCGUUCAAGGAUGAAAAAUUAGGAGCAUCAUGUUACCCAUCACCCAGACAGUCCAGGCACAUUGGAAAUCUUGUACGGGUUCUCCGAGUCAGUUGUAGAAGUGAGUAUGUCCUAAAUACUCAGACUGAUGCCAUUGAUGUCAGAAGAGAGUGCAUCAUCAAAGCCCUGUGUGUGUACCUGAAUGAAGAGCCCAAGAACCUUGUGAAAGAAUACAUGAACACGGAUGGUCAAAGCAUUGAAGCUGCAAUCACGGAGACUACAUUUGGAAUCUUUGUCAUUCGCAAGGAAGGCGAGGAGCCAGAUGUUGGACCGGAAGAUGUAGGUAUUGUUCUGGAGGGUGUGGAAGUUCUGCAUGAGUUGGGAAACAUACCACUUGCUGUGGUGAUGUUGUUCGCGCUUGUUUAUGCUCUUGACCUCAGCUACCCGCCAGAACUGAGAUACACAUUUGAAGCUUUCCAGAAGAUCAUCUCCAUGAUGAUCUUCUUGAUGGAAACGGACUCUCAAAAAAAAAUCAAACACUGAAAACUCUACUUGCACGUUAGUCAUCCUCAAUAGAGUAAACUACAGAUAGGGUUACUCUUAUGGGAAGGUAUUUGAAGCCAUUAGAGAAUUUACUAAAAUCGGAAGCUGUGUUUUUGUUUUAAUACUUCUGACUGUUUCUAUUUUGGGGUUACACAUUAAAAUGGUUUGAAACAAAGGUAGGGUUAAAAAAAAGUGUUCUUUUCAAAAGGAAACUACUUUGACACUUGAGAUAUAAGUAUGCACAAUGCAGUAUUUUCAGUUUGUUCUCAAACAUUUUUCUUUGCACUCAGUUGCCAGGACCACUUUCUGCAUAUAGCUUUGUAACCAGCUUUGAUUUGAUUGUUUUUUUUUAGUCAGAAAGCACUAAAUAUAAAUGUAACAUGUACACUACCCUAAUAAGGUACAAUUAGUUUAACAGAUAGCUAUUAUUUAGAUGCGUUAUAGCUUCGAAAGUCUAAGGUUUGGGCUGAAUUCAGAAGAACAGGUCUGACUCUAGGAGUGGAGAGGAAGACACAGAACGCAGUUUAAGUUUGGUGACACCAUAUAAUUGUGAACCAUUACCAGAAUUAUUUAACAAAAUACAAAUGGCCAUUCAUAUACAACAAUACAA